rnacentral:tRNA from 1 species
GGGGAAGUAGCCUCAAAGUUGGACUCUGGACGCUCGUUUCAGGCCAAUCUGUAUUCAGAUUCAGAGUCCAACCUUCCCAAGGUUGAAGUCGCGGGUUCGAUCCCCGUCUCCCUCU